GUCCCUAUAGCUCAACAGGUAGAGCACAGUACUGUUAAUACUGUUCGUGGAAGUUCGAGUCUUCCUAGGGGCG
rnacentral:tRNA from 1 species